rnacentral:rRNA from 1 species
UACGUAGGCAGCAAGCGUUGUUCGGAGUUACUGGGCGUAAAGGGUGUGUAGGCGGUUGGAUAAGUGUGGUGUGAAAUCUCCCGGCUCAACUGGGAGGGUGCGCUACAAACUGUCUGACUAGAGUGUGGGAUGGGAAAGUGGAAUUCCUGGUGUAGCGGUGAAAUGCGUAGAUAUCAGGAGGAACACCGGUGGUGUAGACGGCUUUUCUGGACCAUAA